CCCCUAGUAACUGCGAGUGAAGCGGGAAAAGCUCAAAUUUGAAAUCUGGCAGUCUCUGGCUGUCCGAGUUGUAAUCUAGAGAAGUGUUAUCCGCGCUGGACCAUGUACAAGUCUCCUGGAACGGAGCGUCAUAGAGGGUGAGAAUCCCGUCUUUGACAUGGACUACCAGGGCUUUGUGAUGCGCUCUCAAAGAGUCGAGUUGUUUGGGAAUGCAGCUCAAAAUGGGUGGUAAAUUCCAUCUAAAGCUAAAUAUUGGCGAGAGACCGAUAGCGAACAAGUACCGUGAGGGAAAGAUGAAAAGAACUUUGGAAAGAGAGUUAAACAGUACGUGAAAUUGUUGAAAGGGAAACGCUUGAAGUCAGUCGCAUUGGCCAGGGAUCAACCUUACAUUUGUUGGGUGUACUUUCUGGUUAAUGGGUCAGCAUCAAUUUUGACUGUUGGAAAAAGGUCAGGGGAAUGUGGCAUCUUCGGAUGUGUUAUAGCCCUUGGUUGUAUACAGCAGUUGGGAUUGAGGAACUCAGCACGCCGCAAGGCCGGGUUUUUAACCACGUACGUGCUUAGGAUGCUGGCAUAAUGGCUUUAAUCGACCCGUCUUGAAACACGGACCAAGGAGUCUAACAUGCCUGCGAGUGUUUGGGUGGAAAACCCAUGCGCGUAAUGAAAGUGAAAGUUGAGAUCUCUGUCGUGGAGAGCAUCGACGCCCGGACCAGACCUUUUGUGACGGUCCCGCGGUAGAGCAUGUAUGUUGGGACCCGAAAGAUGGUGAACUAUGCCUGAAUAGGGUGAAGCCAGAGGAAACUCUGGUGGAGGCUCGUAGCGAUUCUGACGUGCAAAUCGAUCGUCGAAUUUGGG
rnacentral:rRNA from 1 species